rnacentral:rRNA from 1 species
UGCGUAGGUCCCGAGCGUUGUCCGGAUUUAUUGGGCGUAAAGCGAGCGCAGGUGGUUUAUUAAGUCUGGUGUAAAAGGCAGUGGCUCAACCAUUGUAUGCAUUGGAAACUGGUAGACUUGAGUGCAGGAGAGGAGAGUGGAAUUCCAUGUGUAGCGGUGAAAUGCGUAGAUAUAUGGAGGAACACCGGUGGCGAAAGCGGCUCUCUAGCCUGUAACUGACACUGAGGCUCGAAAGCGUGGGGAGCAAACAGG